rnacentral:rRNA from 1 species
GCGUUGUUCGGAAUGACUGGGCGUAAAGGGCGCGUAGGCGGUUUGAUAAGUUUGGUGUGAAAGUCCUGGGCUCAACCUGGGGAUUGCACUGAAUACUGUUAGGCUAGAGUCUGAGAGAGGAAAAUGGAAUUGCGAGUGUAGAGGUGAAAUUCGUAGAUAUUCGCAAGAACACCGGUGGCGAAGGCGGUUUUCUGGCUCAGUACUGACGCUAAGGCGCGAAAGCGUG